rnacentral:rRNA from 1 species
UACGUAGGGCGCAAGCGUUGUCCGGAAUUAUUGGGCGUAAAGCGCACGUAGGCGGCUUGGCAAGUCGGAUGUGAAAUCCCUCGGCUCAACCAAGGAAGUGCAUCCGAAACUGCUGAGCUUGAGUACUUAAGAGGAUCGCGGAAUUCCCGGUGUAGAGGUGAAAUUCGUAGAUAUUGGGAGGAACACCAGUGGCGAAGGCGGCUCACUGGACCGGUACUGACGCUGAUGCGCGAAAGCGUGGGGAGCAAACGGG